rnacentral:rRNA from 1 species
CUUAACACAUGCAAGUCGAACGGGCUUCUUCGGAAGUCAGUGGCAGACGGGUGAGUAACACGUGGGAACGUGCCCUUCGGUUCGGAAUAACUCAGGGAAACUUGAGCUAAUACCGGAUACGCCCUUAUGGGGAAAGGUUUACUGCCGAAGGAUCGGCCCGCGUCUGAUUAGCUUGUUGGUGGGGUAACGGCCUACCAAGGCGACGAUCAGUAGCUGGUCUGAGAGGAUGAUCAGCCACACUGGGACUGAGACACGGCCCAGACUCCUACGGGAGGCAGCAGUGGGGAAUAUUGGACAAUGGGCGCAAGCCUGAUCCAGCCAUGCCGCGUGAGUGAUGAAGGCCUUAGGGUUGUAAAGCUCUUUUGUCCGGGACGAUAAUGACGGUACCGGAAGAAUAAGCCCCGGCUAACUUCGUGCCAGCAGCCGCGGUAAUACGAAGGGGGCUAGCGUUGCUCGGAAUCACUGGGCGUAAAGGGCGCGUAGGCGGCCGAUUAAGUCGGGGGUGAAAGCCUGUGGCUCAACCACAGAAUUGCCUUCGAUAUUGGUUGGCUUGAGACCGGAAGAGGACAGCGGAACUGCGAGUGUAGAGGUGAAAUUCGUAGAUAUUCGCAAGAACACCAGUGGCGAAGGCGGCUGUCUGGUCCGGUUCUGACGCUGAGGCGCGAAAGCGUGGGGAGCAAA